rnacentral:tRNA from 1 species
UCCCUGGUGGCUCAGACGGUAAAGCGUCUGCCAGCAGUGCAGGAGACCCGGGUUUGAUUCCUGGGUCGGGAA